AUUCUGCUUCUACUCUAGCAUGAUAUUUCAGAUCAAAUACUGCCAUCAUAAAAUAUUCAAUAAAUACCACAAUGAAGAGACAAAGGAGAGUGCUGGGUGCAGGUGUAACCAAGAAAGCUUACAUACGGCCCCUCUUCCUAGGAUGUUCACCAAUAAAUUUCCAACUACUCGACAUAUAAUAAGCAAAGAUCUAAUUAACUAAACCAAGUAGCUUAUGAAAGUGCCAAUUUCCCGUUACAGACCAUAAGCAUUCUAAGUGUUCCUAGAAUGACUUUAAGGAGGAGAAUCCAAAAAAUGGGUAGAUGUAAACAAAGUUGGACUCACAGACCUAGAAAAACCUAUGGUUAACAGUUACCAAAGGGAACAGGCGAGGCAGGGGGAGGGAUGGACUGGGGGUCUUGGCAUAUAGAAUGAUUGGCAAAGUGGGACCUGCACAGAAAAAUCUACCCAAUAUUCUGUGAUCAUCUAUGUAGGAAAAGAAUCUGAAAGAGAAUGGAUGUGUGUACAUACAUAGCUGAGUCACUCUGAUGGACAGCAGAAAUUAUCAAAACCUUGUAAAUCAAUUUCACUUUAAUAAAACUUUUUUUUUAAAAGAUGAAAAAAAAAAAAAAAACCAAGAUUGGAACAUGUGACAAUACAUGGAAUUUCAAGCAAGGGAAUGGUAUGAAGUCAAGUACUGAUAUUGGGGAUGAUGCUUCAGAAAGAGUCCACAAUGUAAAUGGUCUGAAAUGUGAAUGCUUCUGAAACAUGAAAGCAAUGACAAAGAUAUCAAGUGUUUCUCUAGCAAGAGACACUAAAAAACCACUUCAGGAUAUAAAUGACAGCAACAUAUUUUAUCUGACAGGGCAGAUAAAAGAUAAUGAGCCCCAAAGUAGAAGACUAGGGCAGUAGACCUGCUGUAGAUAGUGACCACUGUGGAAAUAGAAAAAUGGAAGGGCAGCAAGAGACAAGACACAGAAAGUGCAACCUGGAGGAAGAAAAGAAAUGGUCAUAGCUAACAAUGAAGUCUUAAGAUGAGAAACAGAAUUGGAAAGAGAAGCUGGUUAAGAGAAGUAAUGACAAGUUUUGUUGUCACAAGUUUGAUGCAGUGAUACAACACUCAAGUAAGAAUACCUACUGGAGAGGUGGAGAGGUGGAACUAAGAGGGGGCAAAGUUAGAGAGGACUUAGAAAAUCAGGCCCAUUAAAGUUGGUAAAGUCCCUGAAAGUGAAAAAUAAGGCCCACUCUCUGAGUGAGAAAAUGCAGUACAGAAAGAGCCAGAAGCUAAAGGCUAAGCCUAGUAGUCUGUUCAUAUUCAGGAGGAAGAAGUGGUUUUUGCUUAUGGUGUCUCUUCUCUGUAACAUGCUCUUUUCUACUUGCUGGCUUGAUGAACUUUUCUGCAGCACUAAGAGCUAGCACCGCAUAAACAAGAUCUUCUCCAGCACCUAUAGGCAGAGUUACUCAUUCCCUAGAUCCACAGUAUGUUGUGCAAUAAUCAUGUAUAUAUUCCUUUGAUCCAUGAGACUAUGAACUCUGCCAUAUCCUGCCUUAUCAGUUUUUAUAUUCCCAGCACAGUGCCCGGCACAGAGAGACACUUAAUAAAUGCUUAUUAAAUGUUCAAUGUCUAACAUCAUUGAGAAAAAAAUGACCUGACAGGUAUGAGAGGACCUCAAACAGAAAAAUUGUGUGGAAUGAUAGCAAUACUAUCUGGGUCUGAGCUAGAUGAUGGAUUUGGGACAUUGAGCGGCUGCUGAGACUUUGGGGAAUGGAGACCAGUGGGGAGGCAUUAGGUGGAGAAGGUGGGAAUCGCUGGGGCACAUGAGGAAGACUAUGGAAGCCAGCCUCCGAAAUGGCCCCCUAGGAUUCUCACCCCCUGGCAUAAACACCUUGUACAGGCCCUUCCCACCAUGAACAGGAAAAUGUGGAAGUGAAGGGGGUGACUUCUUAAGCUGGGUCAUCAAAGACAUCAUCACAGCUUUUGCCUUACACACUCUUGACCAUUUAUCUGGGGAACACCAAGUGUCAUGUCAUGAGAACAUUCCAGCAACCCCACUGAGAGUCCAGGUGUUAAGGACCUGAGUCCUCCAGCCAACACACAGCACUAAUGUGCCAGGCAUCUGGGUGAGUCCUCUUAGAAGCAGAUUCCCCAGCCCCAAUCAAGCCUUCAGAUGACUACAAUGCCAGCUGAUGUCUUGAAGUGCAACUUCAUGAAGGACCCUGGGCCAGAUUCCUGACCUACAAAGACUAUCUGAGAUAACAAAUACUAAUAGUUUCUUUGGACUUAUUCAAUUUUGGAGAAAUUUUUUAUAUAGCAAUAAAUGAUUGAUACACUUAGGUUAUUACUAUUUCUCUAGAUUUCUUACCCAAAAGGAAGAAGAUAAGGGAACACCAGUGAUAAUGACUCUUAGAGAGCAGAGACUUGAUUAUUUUGCUGAUGGAUUAAAGACAGAAAAGUGGAGUGAACCUGACUCAGUAUUAGAAGUCCUCAUUCUGUCACCAGCUUACUCUGUGAUUCUGGUCAAUUCCUUCAUCCUUCUGAACUUCUUUUCCUACAUGUCCUGCCAAAUGAGAAUAGUAAAACCUAACGAAGAGGUUUAUUGUGGGGCUGUCAUAAAUGAGAUAAAAUUUCUUGAGUGCCUGUCAUUGUAAGAUCUAACACAUAAUAGAUGCUCAAUAAACUUCAGACAAUUCAAAGAAAAACCAGAUUAAGAGACUAGGAAAAUUUAGUGGGAAAAACCACCAUAGAAGGUGAAACAUAAAAUAAUGAGGUUCUAAAAUUAGACAUCUGUCUUGCACAGAACAUUUCUAUGCCAGAUCUUGCCUCCUAUAUGUGUCAGAAUAGAUCCAUCUCACUUCUUUAGCAAAUCCUUUCCAUGGUACCCAAAUCACUAGCUUUUGGGCACAUACCCUAAUUCAGAAUAAUAUCACUCUCUCAAUACAUAUUUAGUGAGUGUCCAGUGCAUAUAAGUAUUAUUCUUGGUGCUAAGAAUUCAGUGCUAAAUAAACUUAAAGCAGGUAAGGGGUGAGAUAUGCGGAUAUCUGUGAAAUAGUGCUCUAGGCAUCCGGAAGCAUGGAAGCCAGUGGAGUUGGAGUAAAAUAAGCAAGAGGAGAAAUAGUGGAAAUGAUGCUAGAAAAGCCACAGAGUGAAUAUGGAGCCUCAAUAGAACACUUCAGUCGAUGUGGCUUUUAUUAUGAGUGAGGUGAGGAGCUUCUGGAGUGUUUUGAACUGAAGAAUGUCAUGAUGUGACCUACAUUUUAGCUGAAUGUCUCUAGCUAUUGUGCUGGGAACAGACUAUAGGACAGGAAAAUAAAGCAAUAGGGGACUGGAUAUGAGGUAGUUAUGAAUGAAGGUGGAAUGCACUGGUCAAAUUCUAAAAAUUCUUGGAAGGCAGGGCCAACAGGAUUUGCUGAUGGAUUAUAUGUGAGUAAAGGAGAAAAAUCAAGGAUGACUCCAAGAUUUUGGACAUAACCAACUGAAAGAAUGACUUGUGACUAACAGAGAAGGGAGGCUGUGAGGUGACAGGAGCAGAUGUGAGGUAGGAGGGAUGUCUGAGUUCAUCAUCAGAUGUUAAGAUUAAAAUGACAAUUAGGAACCCAUAUCCAUGAACCAAUAGUUUGAGGGAGAGCCCUGAGCUGGUGAUAUUUGGAAGGUGUUAUAAAAAAAAAGUGUGAGGUUGGAUGAUGUCACCAAGGUAACGAGAAAAAGAAUGGGAGACCAAGGACAGCACUAGGUUCACCAUCAACAAACAUGUGCUCCCUCCACUCACCUCUCCAUAUCUUCUCUGUUCUCUCUUAGCCUAUGUCCCAACCUCCCAAGGUACCACACCUACUCCUUAAAUAAACCACAAAGCAUCUUCUCCAAUCCACUCCAACAUGAAACUGGGCUCCAAACUUAACUCCUCCAGUUUCGGCUUCUGGCGUGAUUUUGUUUCUCUUGCUGCUCUCUUCAUCACGUGAUCAACGAUCGAGAGGAGGUGGCCAGUCCCUGUGGUCAUUCCCACCACAGUCCAGCUAAUGCACUGGAAAUCUUCCCUCCCUUCUUUCCUGAUACUUAUAGUCCUGGGCUUUUCUUUUGGGGUCAUACCACUCCUCUUCAGAAAAAGACCAACAAGCUUGUAAGAAGGCUCCUUCCAAUGAAAAUUUAAAACCUCCUGUGGCUGCAUAUGCUUGACCAUUCGUUCUUUCUUAGAUUCUACCCAUAGGCAGGUUUGUAUUCACAACAAACCAAGCCUCCAAUCAGUUCCUUUCUCUCUCAUCUUAUUUGGUGACUGCCACUCACCAUUCCUUUGAGCGCACCUCUAGGAACUUUGCAAAUGCUAUUCUCCAAAUUGAUAGUUGCAACCUUCUCUGUUGGCUGCUGUAGCUACCAUCUAUUAGCACAUAAAGGUAGUGAGUGUUAAAUUUGGCCAACUCUAGUCCACCUUCUGCACCAAAUUCAGUUAGGUGAACAGAGAAUUCUUAAUUUGGGUUAAAAUGGCUUUUAAAGCAGAACUAUGCAUAAUACUUAUCUCCUCUCAAAAAUCAUUCACAAGCAUGUGAUAGCCUCAUUUCAGACACUUCAAAAUAGGGAAUGUUUUCUCCUUUUAAAAAUGAUGAAAUCAUCGUUCAUCAAGAUUAAGCAACUCUUCUAAAGUCAGAUUCAUACUUAAGACUUAUGACUCCUGGUUUAGUAACCUGUAAACAUCUCACGGUUAAAGAAAUAACAAGUUGGUUGAUAACAGGUGUCACCAGUAAGACACUACUAAUUUCAGAGGACAUUAAUAUGUUGAUCUAUUGUAGCUGAUACUUUCUCAUAUUCCUUCCCAUGCAUGUGAAAGUCACAGGCAUUGUCAGACCAACCCAAGUUUCCAGAGAGGUCAUAAGACUGCAAAGUUCAAAUUGUAUCUCUACUCUUGUAAUCUGUCCUUCCCUGCUGUCACUCCCAUUAUGGUUCAAUUAACAGUGGAAACCGGGAGCGACUUGAUGAACAUCUGUCGCAUCCACCUGGAAAUAAUUCAAUAAAAGCUCACUAUGGGAAGAUAUUAUGGGACGCCAGCCUACUUUCUUUUCCAUUUUCACACAGGGUGGCAAGAGUAAUUCAGAUAAUGGGAGGGAAAAGGGUACUCCAUCACCUGGAAAUAUUAGGUCGAUUUCCCAGAGUAGCAUUCCAACACAUAUUGUAAAAGAACAUAAAAAUAAUAAUACAAAUGGAUUG
ensembl:lncRNA